AGUGAACGCUGGCGGUAGGCCUAACACAUGCAAGUCGAACGGCAGCACAGUAAGAGCUUGCUCUUACGGGUGGCGAGUGGCGGACGGGUGAGGAAUACAUCGGAAUCUACUUUUUCGUGGGGGAUAACGUAGGGAAACUUACGCUAAUACCGCAUACGACCUACGGGUGAAAGCAGGGGAUCUUCGGACCUUGCGCGAUUGAAUGCGCCGAUGUCGGAUUAGCUAGUUGGCGGGGUAAAGGCCCACCAAGGCGACGAUCCGUAGCUGGUCUGAGAGGAUGAUCGGCCACACUGGAAGUGAGACACGGUCCAGACUCCUACGGGAGGCAGCAGUGGGGAAUAUUGGACAAUGGGCGCAAGCCUGAUCCAGCCAUACCGCGUGGGUGAAGAAGGCCUUCGGGUUGUAAAGCCCUUUUGUUGGGAAAGAAAAGCAGCAGGUUAAUACCCCGCUGUUCUGACGGUACCCAAAGAAUAAGCACCGGCUAACUUCGUG
rnacentral:rRNA from 1 species